rnacentral:tRNA from 1 species
GGAGUUGGCUCAGUGGUAGAGCGCUUGCCUUGCAUGCAUGAGACCCUGGGUUCAAUUCCUCAGCACCA